GCAGGUGUAGCUCAAGGGUAGAGCGCUUCCUUGCCAAGGAAGAGGUUGAGGGUUCGAAUCCCUUCACCCGCUCCA
rnacentral:tRNA from 1 species